AGGAGGCAGCAGUAAGGAAUGUUGCGCAAUGGGGGAAACCCUGACGCAGCUACGCCGCGUGGGUGAUGAAGGCCUUCGGGUUGUAAGCCCUGUCCGUGGGGACGAAAACUGACGGUACCCACGAAGAAAGCACCGGCUAACCCUGUGCCAGCAGCCGCGGUAAUACAGGGGGUGCAAGCGUUGCUCGGAAUCACUGGGCGUAAAGCGUGCGCAGGCGGAACGUUAAGUCGGGUGUGAAAUCCCGGGGCUCAACCCCGGAACUGCAUUCGAAACCGGCGAUCUUGAGUGCGGCAGAGGUGAGUGGAAUUCCUGGUGUAGAGGUGAAAUUCGUAGAUAUCAGGAGGAACACCGGUGGCGAAAGCGACUCACUGGGCCGACACUGACGCUCAUGCACGAAAGCGUGGGGAGCAAACAGGAUUAGAAACCCCAGUAGUCCC
rnacentral:rRNA from 1 species